CCUACGGGUGGCAGCAGUGAGGAAUAUUGGUCAAUGGACGAGAGUCUGAACCAGCCAAGUAGCGUGAAGGAUGACUGCCCUAUGGGUUGUAAACUUCUUUUAUAUGGGAAUAAAAUGUUCCACGUGUGGGAUUUUGUAUGUACCAUAUGAAUAAGGAUCGGCUAACUCCGUGCCAGCAGCCGCGGUAAUACGGAGGAUCCGAGCGUUAUCCGGAUUUAUUGGGUUUAAAGGGAGCGUAGGUGGAUUGUUAAGUCAGUUGUGAAAGUUUGCGGCUCAACCGUAAAAUUGCAGUUGAAACUGGCAGUCUUGAGUACAGUAGAGGUGGGCGGAAUUCGGGGUGUAGCGGUGAAAUGCUUAGAUAUCACGAAGAACUCCGAUUGCGAAGGCAGUUCACUGGACUGCAACUGACACUGAGGCUCGAAAGUGUGGGUAUCAAACAGGAUUAGAACCCUUGUAGUC
rnacentral:rRNA from 1 species